GGGGUCGUCGUCUAGCUUGGUCCAGGAUACCAGCCUGGGGCGCUGGUGGUCGUGGGUUCAAAUCCCGCCGACCCCA
rnacentral:tRNA from 1 species